rnacentral:rRNA from 1 species
UACGGAGGGAGCUAGCGUUGUUCGGAAUUACUGGGCGUAAAGCGCGCGUAGGCGGCUUUGUAAGUUAGAGGUGAAAGCCCGGGGCUCAACCCCGGAACUGCCUUUAAGACUGCAUCGCUUGAAUCCGGGAGAGGUGAGUGGAAUUCCGAGUGUAGAGGUGAAAUUCGUAGAUAUUCGGAAGAACACCAGUGGCGAAGGCGGCUCUCUGGGCCUUGCCUGACGCUGAGGCGCGAAAGCUAGGGGAGCAAACAGG